AUGUUAACAAUGUGUAACCUAAUAUUGUGACAAAAAUAUCCUUAAUUGCUCAAUUAAAAAGAAGACAUAUGUCAAUAUUAUUUUAGUAAACAACCUAUAUUAAAAUUAAAAAAAUAACAAAAUCAUUAUCCUCUUCCCCCGUACCCUCCAAACCUAUUUCCUCCUAAUCCACCCAGAGACACUAUAAGCCACAACCACACAGAACCACUUCAAGACUCUUCCCUCCACUUCAAGACUCUUCCCUCAUCGUAUGCUUAUAAUCUUUUGUCACUUGUUGACCCUGUGAGCGCUGAUGGCUCGAAACGCAGAAGCACUGUCACCGUCACGUCACCACCCCACCUAAACCACUGUCGCACCACCACCCCACCAGAACCACGUUGCACCAGACAUAUAGAUUCGUCUCGGUUUUCAACCACACAUGUCGUCACAACAGACAACCAAAAUCACUGCUGCUGUUUUGAGGAUCUAGGAUUUGUUACUACUAUUAUGAGGGAGUAUGACAUGAAAAGAUUUGUAAUUGUUGCAAACUAUAAGGGAGCAUGGCAUAAAAAAUGUUUAGAACAAGAUGAAUGCAAUAUUUAAGAUACUAAUGUGUAAGAAUCAUGUGUUAGCUUUUUCUUGUAAUUGUAUAUUUUUACUAGUGUUAUGUAUGCAAUAUUUUGUAAGAAUGAAAUAUUUUGUGAAAUUGAUAUCUUAGAAUUUUUACUAUUGCUAUGUGUUAGCUCUUCUGAGUAUAAGUCCCUAAGUUGAGAAUGCUUGUAAAUAUUCCUUGGUGGGUUUAUACUUGUGCAACAAACUUUAAUUUGAUAUUGUUGUUCAUUGCUAGUUAUUAUGUAGUAUUAUAGAUAAUCAAAUAUACUUUUGCAGCUCCUGGUUCCUAGUAAAAGUUCUUAUAGUAACGUUAUUAUUCAUUUCUGUUUAUUAUGAAGCCAAGAGAUUAUUG
rnacentral:lncRNA from 1 species